GACGUAGGGCGCGAGCGUUGUCCGGAUUUAUUGGGCGUAAAGAGCUCGUAGGCGGUCUGUCGCGUCUGCUGUGAAAACUCGGGGCUUAACCCCGGGCCUGCAGUGGGUACGGGCAGACUAGAGUGCGGUAGGGGAGACUGGAAUUCCUGGUGUAGCGGUGAAAUGCGCAGAUAUCAGGAGGAACACCGGUGGCGAAGGCGGUUCUCUGGGCCUUACCUGACGCUGAGGAGCGAAAGCGUGGGGAGCGAACAGG
rnacentral:rRNA from 1 species